rnacentral:rRNA from 1 species
GACGAACGCUGGCGGCGUGCCUAACACAUGCAAGUCAACGAGAAAAGGGUAGCAAUAUCCUGAGUAAAGUGGCGCACGGGUGAGUAACACGUAGGUAAUCUGCCAUUAGGACGGGGACAACCACGCGAAAGCGUGGCUAAUACCCGAUGAAUCAGCGGCGCCGCAUGGCGUUGUUGUUAAAUACCGCAAGGUGCCUGGUGAUGAACCUGCGUCCCAUUAGGUAGUUGGUGAGGUAACGGCUCACCAAGCCGACGAUGGGUAGCUGGUCUGAGAGGAUGAUCAGCCACACUGGAACUGAGACACGGUCCAGACUCCUACGGGAGGCAGCAGUGAGGAAUAUUGCGCAAUGGCCGAAAGGCUGACGCAGCGACGCCGCGUGAAGGAU